AGAAGUGAAUGUCAAAAUUGACCUGCUCAAAACAGCUGCUGCUCUAGCUGGCUCCUUUCUCUCUCAGAGCUCUGUGUGUGUCCUUCCUGAAACUGUGCUCUAAGCCAAAGAGGACGACCCUGCUGACAGAAGAUGGCUGUUCUCUGAUAAGGGUGUACAAGGAGCGGCACUCCCCUGCUAGAAUCUCCAAACAAACACAGCUCUGCACGUCAGCCCUGAUGUCCAUUCAUCAUAGCAGUGAAUGACAUCAUUAUUCACUGGGUCACUUAGGCCCAAAACUAA
rnacentral:sRNA from 1 species